rnacentral:rRNA from 1 species
AUUGAACGCUGGCGGCAGGCCUAACACAUGCAAGUCGAACGAGUGGCGGACGGGUGAGUAAUGUCUGGGAAACUGCCUGAUGGAGGGGGAUAACUACUGGAAACGGUAGCUAAUACCGCAUACCAUCAGAUGUGCCCAGAUGGGAUUAGCUAGUUGGUGUGGUAACGGCUCACCAAGGCGACGAUCCCUAGCUGGUCUGAGAGGCUGACCAGCAACACUGGAACUGAGACAAGGUCCAGACUCCGACGGGAGGCAGCAGUGGGGAAUAUUGCACAAUGGGAGCAAGCCUGAGAGAGCAAUGCCGAGGGUAUGAAGAAGGCCUUCGGGUUGUAAAGUACUGUCAGCGGGGAGGCGUUACCCGCAGAAGAAGCACCGGCUAACUCCGUGCCAGCAGCCGCGGUAAUAC